ACGGAAGGCAGCAGCUAAGAAUAUUCCGCAAUGGACGAACGUCUGCCGGAGCGACGCCGCGUGGAUGAUGAAGGCCGGAAGGUUGUAAAAUCCUUUUAUAACUGAGGAAUAAGUAUUAUCAGAGAAAGGUAGUAUGGUGACUGUAGGUUAUGAAUAAGCACCGGCUAAUUACGUGCCAGCAGCCUCGGUAACACGUACGUUGCGAGCGUUGUUCGGAAUUAUUGGGCGUAAAGGGCAUGUAGGCGGUUUUGCAAGCUUGGUGUGAAAUCCCGGAGCUCAACUCCGGAAUUGCGUUGAGAACUGCAUAACUAGAGUCACUGAGGGGCAAUCAGAAUUCCAGGUGUAGGGGUGAAAUCUGUAGAUAUCUGGAAGAAUACCAAUGGCGAAGGCAGGUUACCAGCAGAUGACUGACGCUGAGGUGCGAAGGUGCGGGGAGCAAACAGGAUUAGAUACCCUGGUA
rnacentral:rRNA from 1 species